GUGCUUGGCAUCAGGAGCACACACACUAUAAUUGAAUGAUACAGAGAAUAACAUGGAUUUUGCACAAGCAUGAUAGGUAAAUUCAUGAAGCAUUCUAUAUUUUU